UUUUUUUUCCCUUCAAGAAAGUCACAUGUCUACUUUUAUUUCUGCACUUCUCUUUCUUUAUUUGAUAGCAACUUUGCUUUUUACCUUGAAAUUAGCCACUUUGUUUGUUUUUCUUAUUUUUCCAAAUGUCCUCUUGAUUCUCCCACUCCCUACUUUCAAACGUUCCAAGGAUUCGGAAGCGUUACCGUUGAUGGAGGAUAAGUCUGUUUCACAACUACCAGUUGACAAGGUGUCGACUACCGCGGCGGCAGUAUUUCGAGAUUUUUGGGGUUCUAAUAAAUCCUCUCGCUCCUCCAUUGAUCCGAGGUCAUGUCUUCAAUUCAAGUCUCUUAUUACAUCAGGUCUUGUUCCAGUACAAGGAAAGAUGUUAGCUCAUCGGAUUGAUGGAAUAUGAUAUGGGUCGGUUGUUAAUGAGUCGGCUACGAGCUCCAUCUUGGGUUUAUUGCAUUGGCUCCUUUUGCACAUAUGGUUGUUGGGAACCAUCUUGUAAUUGAAGUUUGGCUGUAAGGAUAGAUUUCUAGACCACACGCAACAACAAUAUUAUACUUUAGAUUUGUAUUGGAUUAUAGAUAUAGACAUCUAGUGUUAUCUACUAAAUUAAUUUUGUUGAUGUUAAUAGUAAUAUAUUAUUCAUUUAUUCA